rnacentral:lncRNA from 1 species
GCCCGGCGAAGCCCGACCCGCGCGGCGCCCCCAGGGCCAGGGGAGGAGCCUAAGGACCCGGACGAGCGCCGCUCCAGUAGGUGACAAGAGGAACCAAGAACCUCAGUUCAGGGGAAACACAGCAAGGAAAUGUGAGCCCCAGGCUGCAGAAGGAAGAGUCAGUGAAUGGCUGCGGUGUGACAACAUGCACCACCAGUGGCUUCUGCUGGCCGCAUGCUUUUGGGUGAUUUUCAUGUUCAUGGUGGCUAGCAAGUUCAUCACGUUGACCUUUAAAGACCCAGAUGCCAACUGGGAAGGAGCUUCCAGACAGCCAGCUCGUUCAGCCCCUGGUCUACAUGGAGCGCCUGGAACUCAUCAGAAACGUCUGCAGGGAUGAUGCCCUGAAGAAUCUCUCGCACACUCCUGUCUCCAAGUUUGUCCUGGACCGAAUAUUUGUCUGUGACAAGCACAAGAUUCUUUUCUGCCAGACUCCCAAAGUGGGCAACACCCAGUGGAAGAAAGUGCUGAUUGUUCUAAAUG